GAUUAAUAGUUAUGAUCUUUAAAGGUAAAUAAUUUGGCGGUAUUUUAGUCUUUUCAGAGGAACCUGUUUUGUAAAUGAUAGUCCACGAUAAAAUUGUCUUAAAUUAGAAAUUUAUAUAUCAUCGUUAUUAAAUAUUUUUAUAGAAGUUAAUAUUUACUAAAUAUAAUUUUAUUUUAAUUCAGAUCAAGGUAUAGUUUAUAUUUAAGUAAUAAUGGGUUACAAUAUUAAUAAAUUUGGAUUUUAAAUUUAAAAUUUAAAUGAAAUUGGAUUUGAAAGUAAUUAUAUUUAU
rnacentral:rRNA from 1 species